AAUGCCUGCUGCUUCUCCAAGCCUUCAUGGAAGGCGAUUUCUUUCCAGCGCAUCUCCAGAGAUGGCUAGGCCCUGCUCUCCCUGGACACCCUGCUCUGUCCCAUCCUGAGGACAGUGCCUAGAGCAGACUGGCCCAUGUCGUGUCCUUUCCCAAAGUCCAGAGGCAAGGAGACAGGCACUGACAGACAUUUGAGCCAGAUAAAUAGGAGAGGCCCAGGGUUCUACUGGCUACACAAAGAGCAGACAGAGUUCAGAGAGGGAGUGCACAUCUAUGACCAGGAGUCCAGGAAAGAGUAAUGGAAGAAGAGAUAUCAGAGCUCAACUCAGUCCUUAAGGAGGCUGCUGGUCUGGCCGCCCUGAGAACCUGCGUUCCAUCUGGGCAAGCAGUGUGUCCCUCGCUAGUCCACGCCCAGAGCUCUGAGUCCCGUGGAGUCAGGAGAACUAGGGAGGGAAAUGUGAUCCCUCCUCACCCCCACCCCAAGCUGCCUGACCCUGCUGCACUGCCAGGUGCCUGAGAGUCCAUCUGCAAACAGCGCAGUCACCUACACCUUGCAAAGCAGAAUGGGCACUGACGGGAGUUCAGAGAGAGGUCUACUUCUCCCCGGAGUGGUUAAAGAAGUGGGGAGCCUAAAGUCUUCCAGUUGACCCUUGCAAUGCCAUUCUCUUUUGGAGGUGAGUCCUUCUUCCCCAAGCCCCUCCUGGAUCAGUGAGGACCAUCUAGAUUUUUGGACAGAAGACUAAGGAAGGGGCUUGAGGCUGAGGAGGCCUUCACUAUACUCUCCCCCUGGCCUCUGCAGAGCCCACACCUGGCAGUUCCUGUGUGUGAAUCCCAAGCAAUCCACACGUUCAGGUUUGAUUUGCCCUGUGGAGAAGCUUGGAGACCUCAGAGUGGAGGCAGUGAUGCCAAUGUCUACUUGAGUCAAGGAAGAUGGCAGCCAAAGAUUUCCAGCCACGAGCAAUGCUUCCUCCAAGAUGACCAGGCUGGGCUUUAUCCCGAGCUCCGUUCAAACCACACAGACAGCAAGCAGGGGUGCGGAGAUGCAGUCCGCUGAGCUGGCCCUGGGGCCAGGCACCCUUCUGGAGGAGUCGGACAAGCCCCACAGUGAAGAAACUACCAGCCAGGGCUCUAGUCCCUGGGACCGAUCCCCACCCGUGCUGUCCGGUCCAUUUUGGCUUACUUUGCAGACAUGGUCACAGACGUACUAAGCCUUUCAAGGUGGCUUGGUAAGAAGAGUAGGCUUGGAUUGUACGGAAUCAGAGUGAGGGGUGGUGGCCCAGGUGAAAGGCUGGCUCCCAAAAAGAUGGGAAGUUUGAGUCUGUUUUCCACUGCCAAGAGUUUUGGAAACCUUGGGUUCAUCUAAGCCAGCACCCUGGAGAGAUGCCAGCACAGAGACUCUGGACCUUACAGGGGGUCCAGGACCUUACAGGACCCGACCCUGCAGGAGCCAGAGCCUUUCCCUGGGGUCCAAAAGAAGCUGAG
rnacentral:lncRNA from 1 species